rnacentral:ncRNA from 1 species
CCGGUCUCAUGGAUUAAAAGGGAAUCGGGUGCAAGUCCCGAACAGUCCCGCUGCUGUGAAGCUCCACCAAUUCUGACGAACAUCAUGACCACUGACACGACGUGUCGGGAAGGUUUCGCAGAAGGAGUCAGUCAGAAGACCUGCCAUCGAAUUUAU